rnacentral:rRNA from 1 species
GACGAACGCUGGCGGCGUGCCUAACACAUGCAAGCCGAACGGAACUGUUUUGAAAGAUUUCUUCGGAAUGAAUUUGAUUUAGUUUAGUGGCGGACGGGUGAGUAACGCGUGAGUAACCUGCCUUCAAGAGGGGGAUAACAUUCUGAAAAGAAUGCUAAUACCGCAUGACAUAUCGGAAUCACAUGAUUUUGAUGUCAAAGAUUUUAUCGCUUGAAGAUGGACUCGCGUCCGAUUAGUUAGUUGGUGAGGUAACGGCUCACCAAGACCGCGAUCGGUAGCCGGACUGAGAGGUUGAACGGCCACAUUGGGACUGAGACACGGCCCAGACUCCUACGGGAGGCAGCAGUGGGGGAUAUUGCGCAAUGGGGGCAACCCUGACGCAGCAACGCCGCGUGAAGGAUGAAGGUUUUCGGAUUGUAAACUUCUUUUAUUAAGGACGAAAAAUGACGGUACU